rnacentral:rRNA from 1 species
GAUGAACGCUGGCGGCGUGCCUAAUACAUGCAAGUCGAGCGAACAGAUGAGGAGCUUGCUCCUCUGACGUUAGCGGCGGACGGGUGAGUAACACGUGGAUAACCUACCUAUAAGACUGGGAUAACUUCGGGAAACCGGAGCUAAUACCGGAUAAUAUAUUGAACCGCAUGGUUCAAUAGUGAAAGACGGUUUUGCUGUCACUUAUAGAUGGAUCCGCGCCGCAUUAGCUAGUUGGUAAGGUAACGGCUUACCAAGGCAACGAUGCGUAGCCGACCUGAGAGGCGGAUCGGCCACACUGGAACUGAGACGCGGUCCAGACUCCUACGGGAGGCAGCAGUAGGGAAUCUUCCGCAAUGGGCGAAAGCCUGACGGAGCAACGCCGCGUGAGUGAUGAAGGUCUUCGGAUCGUAAAACUCUUUUAUUAGGGAAGAACAAAUGUGUAAGUAACUAUGCACGUCUUGACGGUACCUAAUCAGAAAGCCACGGCUAACUACGUG